AGUACAGGAAUGAUUGGGGGAGGAAGGGAGGAAUUCAAUUACCGAAGUAAUUUAUUUAGUCUAUUCCCAUAUCACCAUAGGAUCAUCGUAUGCACACCUGUGCUUAUCUACCUCCUCAGAGCAAAGAUGUGCUAGUAGGGAGGAAACAAGGCAUUUCCAAGUAGCCUGCAUUUGUAAGGAGGAGAGGAUCUUAUUUUCACCGCAGAUCUCCAUUUCACCAAGGAACAGUGGUUUAACUGCCGUGUUCAGGACAACGGAUUUUUACCUUGUCAACUUGGGGAUUUGAUUUUGCAACCUUUCGGUUACUAGUCCAACGUUCUAACCACUAGGCUACCCGCCACCCCCAAAGUACAGCCUUAUGUAAACAGGUCCACAGUGUCAUCAAUUGUGCAAACAUUCCGUAGGGAAAACAGGACUGCACAAAGACCUCAUGCUGGUGGCAGAGUAGCAGUAUUCAGCCAUCGGCAAGAACGAGAAAUUUGCAACAUGGUCAUAGCCAACAAUUCCAUCAGGCUAAGAGGGAUCCGAAGUGCAAUCACAAAUGACGACGAUAUCUUCGCAAAUAUCAAUUCUGUCAGCAUUUCCACUAUAGACAGAGUUUUGGAAAAAAAUGACUAUGAAACAACUCUACAAGGUACCAUUUGAGAGGAAUCGUGACAGAGUGAAGGAGCUGCGGUGCCAGUAUGUCCAGAAAAUAAUGGAGCUGGAAGGACAUAAAAUUACCCACAUUCUUGUUUUUGUGGACGAGGCUGGGUUCAAUCUGGCCCAAGGCAGGAGAUGUGGCCGCAAUCUCAUUGGACACCGAGCCACAAUUGGCACACCAGGCCAACGUGGGGAGCAAUAUUACAAUGUGUGCUGCCAUUUCUGAGAAUGGUGUGAGCGCACAUAUUCCACACAUUGGGCCCUAUAACACCCAUCUUCUCAUGGUCUUCCUAAAUACACUUUACAGAGACCUAAUAACAGAACACCAUAGAGGUUUAGUUAGUGCAAAUUUGCCAAAUUAUGUAAUUGUGUGGGAUGUCAGCUUCCACCGAAACAACAAUGUAGGGAAUGGUUUGCUGCGCAUGAAAGGAUAACCAUAGAGUUCCUUCCACCAUCCUCCCCAUUCCUGAAACCGAUAGAAGAGUUUUGUUCAGUGGAAAGUAUAUGCAGGGGAUAGUUUCCGCCAGACAAGGAGAUUUCCCCCCCCGGUGCAUCGCAAGGGAAAACAUCAGAUGUGAUGUUGAUGAAAAUCCUUGGCCUGACCAACAAGAGCGACAGCAUGUCCACCAAGAAGAUGGGAACUUCUUGUGUUACGUACUGUGAGGAGGUACAAUUGAUUGUUUUUUACAGAACUACCACAGGUUUCUUCUUUGUUGCAUUUUUAUUUAUUUUUUGCAUGGAUGUCAUUUUGUGGCAAAUUUUCUGUUCACUAUGUAUGAUUUUACAUGUAAGAAAUAUGUAAAAAUGGACAUGCAAAUGUGAAUUUUCUGUUUACAUGUAACACAUUGCUACAAAAAUGUAUUUACUGUAUACAUACAAAUGUGCAUAUCCUUUUUCUGUGUACUACGGUAUUGACUUUUCCCAGUAAACUUUUACCUACUGUUUUAA